rnacentral:lncRNA from 1 species
GGGAAUUUUGAUGGGACGGUGUAGAGAGAGGCCGUAGCAAUUUGAGUGUGUAAUAGGCUUUUGAAUUUUUAGAGUAAAAGAUGUAACAAUGUUUUCUGUUACAAUUUAAAAAAUUAGGAAUCCCAAAGGAAAUAGGAUGGAAUGGGAUGAUGUACAUCAAAGUAUUUUUCUUUUUUGUCUUUUUUAGGGCUGCAUCCAUGGCAUAUGGAAGUUCCCAAGCUAGGGGUUGAACUGGAGCUGCAGCUGCUGGCCUACACCACAGCCACAGCAACGUGGGAUCCGAACCACAUCUGUGACCUAAGCCACAGUGCAUGGCGGCACUGGAUCCUUAACCCACUAAGCAAGGCCAGGGAUUGAACCUGUGUCCUCAUGGAUGCUAGUCAGAUUUGUUUCCACUGAGUCACGACAGGAACUCCCCAUCAAAGUAUUUUUAAACCUCUAUAAUCACAAAAAUUUGAAGCUCAAAAUUUUAAAGAGGAAUACAAUAAUUUACAGGUGCUAUGAACCUUUUUAUGAUUAGGAGAUAGGUUUUCCCAAUUUUCUGUUCUCAGCCAUAGAGACAACUCAUGCUAAAUUAGGGCAAUUCAAGAAGUAAACAGAGUCAGCCUCAGCCACACACAGAUCUCAUCUGAGUUAUCACUCCCCCUUUGUGAACUUUCCUACCAUUUCUGUUCAUAAGCAAGGAAAUAGAUUCUAGCUCUUCUCUCUGUCUUUCCUUUCUUCCAUCACUUUUAAGUUUUUAGAAAGUUUUAAGUGUGUGUAGUGGGGAAGCAACUAACUGAGUUUUUUCUGCCUGUAUUCUUAAUUGCAAACAUCUCCUACAAUUUGGGGAGUUUUGGAAGGAGGAGAAGAGCAAGGAGGAAAUUAUUAAAAAAUAAAGAAGAGAAGAAAGAGUUGCACACUUCACUUCUUCAUUUUACUCACUUUUGUGGUUCCCCAGUACCACAGAAUGCUCAGAAUAUCCAUGACUAUUAAUAUUAUUUGGUUUAUUAGAUGCCAGGUAGAGUUAACCACAACAGAUCUGAAUCGACUAAGAUGUACUGUCCUCUCUCACAUUGCACAGAAAAUGCAUGUAUUGUUUUUCUAGGAUUCUCAGGCCCUUUGAAAUCACCAAGGAUAUCUUUAAUUGUAUAGGAAGAACUUGCAAGUUAUAAAUUAUUUGUCCUUUAUAUAAUAUAUGUUUAUUUAUAUAACAUAUAUAGUGGGAUCAUUUCUUGCUUUAACUAUUUAUUGCCUAGCACAAUUCUGAGCAAAGAGGUAAAGUCAGACGGGUCAGACAGGUUAUGCAGAUAAAACAUACUUUCUCAGGUGAAGCCACAAAAUAUUAUGGCUGAUAAUUAGCUGAAACCCUCAUUUUUGAAAAUACAUGGUGCUCUACAUUAUAUAUAUAUAUUUUACCUAGUACUUUUGACAAUUUUUGUACUUAAAUAUAAAAUUUACGUGUAUUCCCACCGCAUUUAUCUUGUUCAAUCAAGUUGGCCUGUGAACACUUUUUCUUUUCCUUUCCUUUUUUGGCCACGCCAGCAGUAUGCGGAAGUUCCCGGGCCAGGAAUUGAACCCACAGCGACAAAAGCCCCUAUGGUGAUAAUGCCAGAUCUUUAACCCACUACAGCGUGAGGGAAUUCCCUUUUCUUUUAUUUUUUAUUUCUAGUCUAUCAUUUAACAUGUGAGUUAUUCAAAACAGCUCAUCGCUAUGUCCUCACCCCAAAUAAUGAUGAGAGGGACAACAGAGCCUAGUACAGGACCUAGAAAACAUUUGGAUGGUUGGCAUGAAUCCUCUUAACAGUCUUAGCUUAUGACCAUUCCAGCAGCAGGUAAGAAUCCCCAAAAUUAUACCAUCACCUUACUGCUUAUUCACAAGUUAAGUAUCAGUAACUUAGAUUCACUCUCCCAGCACUAGCCUCCCAGGCAUGUUAGGCUCAGGGUAUAGGGUAGCCCUGGCACAAAUAAAUCUUUGCAUCAGUGGUUAGAGUCUAGGAAAAAGGAUGUGAAAGCAUACAAAUGAUGGGGGAGUGGGGGAAAAUGUGUUAUCUAAGCUCUGCCAAUCAUCAGUUUCUAGAAGGUGACUAUGAUAAUGCGAUUUAUAAUAAGAAAUAUAUAUUUGGUCUUUUUCCUCGUUUCUAGCACAGAAUUUCUUAGGAAUUUCCUAAGUGGCGUGAAAGAUAAUUUUGUUGCAUUAAUGAGGGGACAUCUGACACCAAACAUGGGGGCUGGCUUUCAGGGGAACCGACGCAGUGAGUGGAGGGUUGGAACUUUCAGUCCUACCCCGCUUCGUGGGGAACAGAGAGGGUCUAGAGGUUGAAAUUAUCACCAGUGGGCAGUGAUUUGAUCAAUUACACCUGUGUAAUGAAGCAUCCAUAAAACCCCAAAAGGACUAGGUUUGGAGAGCUUUUGGGUUGAUGAACACAUGCAGUGGCUACAACAGUGGUGCCUGGAGAGGGCUUGGAAGCUUCACUCUGUCCCUAGUCCUUGUCCCGUGCACUCUUCCAUCUGGCUGUUCCUCAGUUGUAUCCUUUUACAACAAGUCAGUUAUCUAGUAAGUGAAGUGUUCCUCUGAGUUCUGUGAGGUGCUCUAGCAAAUUAAUUGAACCCAAGGACGGGAGUCUUGGGAAACUCUGCUCCACAGUCAUUCAGUAAGACCAACUGGCAUCUGAAGUCAGAGGAGGAGGUCCUGACAACAUCCAAUCUGCAGCCAGUUUUCAGAAGUAACAACUUGGGCUUUAAAUUGGUGUCUGAAGUGGGGGGUAGGGGAGCAGUCUUGUAGAAUUGAGCCCUCAGCUAGUGACUCUGAUAUUAUUCCUGGGCAGAUAGUGUCAGAAUGGAGCAAAUUCUUAAACACCCUGCUAUUGCCUGAGAAUUGCUUGUUCGUGGUGUGGGACCUCUGCACCGCCCCCCAAGCUGAAAUUGGUUUCAGAACACCAGAAGAGUGACAAUUUUGAAAAUCACCCAAUGUGGCUCUCUCUAUAAGGGUGCUUCCCUACCCAUGGGUGAAGAAGUUGGCAUCCCAUUUUAUGAUUUUUUUUUAAGCCACUCUCUCUGUUCUCCAUAUUGUGAAAUUUAUUUUUAGGCUCUUCCUUGCACUCAGCAUUCGAGACCCAUGCAUACUGGUUGAUCUCAGAGUGAAUUUUCACAGUUCCACCUCCACCCAGCAUGUUAGAAAUGGUAAUUUAUCUCUGUACAGUUUCCAGUUCGGGUUUUACUCUCAGACGUUGCCUUCAGCUUUCUCUCUUCACCAUAUACUAUGGGGUAGUGUCAGCACAUGCCAGCACCACCCCUGGAAACCUCACCUGUUUUAGGUACUUGGUUUUUGUUUUUGUUUGCUUUUUAGAACCGCACCUGCAGUAUAUGGAAGUUCUCAGGCUAGAGGUGGAAUUGGGGCUGUAGCUGCUGGCUUGUAUCAUGGCUACAGGAAUACCAGAUCCAAGCCCCAUACGUGACCUACAUCACAGCUUGUGGUAAUGCAAGAUCCUUAACACACUGAGUGAGGCUAGGGAUUGAAUCUACAUCCUCAUGGACACUUCUUUGGGUUCUUAACCUGCUGAGCCACAUCAUGAAUUCCUGCCUUAGAUACUUGGGAUCUCUGCUUAUCUAGAACAAGAGUGGGCAGGGGUGCUCAAGGAAGAAACUCAGGUGAAGAGAAGUCUGGAAACUGUCUCAUAAGAAACUGCACACACUCCAGGAGAUUGAGGGAGUCGCAGUGGUAGUCUUUUUCUAAUAAAAACAAUACAAGGGAGUUCCCAUUGUGGCGCAGUGGUAACUAGGAUCCAUGAGGAUGCAGGUUUGAUCCCUGGCCUCAUUCAGUGGGUUAAGGAUCCGGCGUUGCUGUGAGCCGUGGUAUCGGUCACAGAUGUGACUUGGAUCCUGCAUUGCUGUGGCUGUGGUAUAGGCUGGCAGCUAUAGCUCUGAUUGGACCCCUAGCCGGAACCUCCAUAUGCUGCAGGAGCAGCCCUAAAAAGCAAAAACCAAACCCAAAAACUAUGAAAAUAUUAGAAAUCUAGAUAACAGCUUUAAAUUUAGACAUCCCAGUGGCAAUAUGAGAGGCUUACACUCUUGUCUUCCAACUUCAUGGAGAGAGUUUGGAAGAAUAUGAAAGAACCAUGUCAACCAUGGUUGAUACUGGGCAAUUUUCUUGGAGGAAAAAUCCAAAGAAUUAUUAAAAUGAAAAAUUCAUUUAGGAAAGUUUGGGAGUUCUCUCUAGGCUGAAAUUUGGUCCCAGAUUUCAGAUCUCAGUCUGUAGAUCAGUUAUUUCCCUUGUGAUAGGUCACUUGCUCUUCUCUGAGUCACUGAUGUUCAGUCAAUAAAACCGAAUUUUAAAGUGUUCUUUUUUCAGUCUACACAAGGGUUUUUGGAGUGUUAGAGUUGUUGUGCUGUUACUCCAAUAAAAUUGCAUAGUCAGCUGCCAUUUGGAAUAAUUAGCUGUAGAUUGUUGUUUUAGUCCUGCAAAUCUUGGGCUUCUCAACCUAAACCAUGUCAAAUUAUGAAGCUAUAGUCACCCAAGAGUCUCAAUCAGAAUUUUAUCCUUCGACAUAUUCAUUAUGACAGUUUUCAGAUUUACAAUUUGAAGUCCUAAUUACUGUAAAUACCUACGUACUUGACAGUUUCUCAUCUUUGAUGGACGCAAAGAACCAAAACUGAGCCAAAGGGAUUUUUUCCUUCAAGAUCGAUGGCUCUACUGCUGUGCAUAGGAAAACAGGGGCAAUAAAUUAUUGCGGCCAAAGAAAGUGUAUUGAAUCUGUUUCUUUUUAGUUUUUUUUUUUUUAUUGUUCCAACUUGAUCUGACCACCUUCCAUGUUUUCAAGGCCAUAUUUAACAGUCAUGUUUGCCAUAUUUGCUGUUGUUGUUACCCCUUCUUGUCCAUAAUAUAAUACAAAUGAUUAUAAUUUAACUGUUAAUAAACUAACAGUACAGCCAAAUACUAGGAGUAUUUCAGAUUUUUUUCUGUUAAUGCUUUAAUUCAAAUAAUCAUGCUGUCUUAUAGAUAGAAGUAGGCUUAGAAAUCUUCUAUUUCUAACUAAUCACUUUACACAUAAGUAUACUGAGGCCUACAUGUUAAAAGUAAUUAAGUAACUUUAUUAUUACUAUUAUUAUUAUUUAUUAUCAUUGUUUCAAAGUAAAUUAAUAAGAGGCACAACUUAAAUGCUUCUUCUGAACUUUUGACUGAUUAUCUUUCCACUCCCAUACACUGAUUAUCUUUUUUUUUUAAAUGGAUAUAUUAAAAAAAAUAAGAGUUCCCGCUGUGGCUCAGCGGUAAUGAACCCAACUAGUAUCCAUGAGGAUGUGGGUUCGACCCCUGGGCUCACUCAGUAGGUUAAGGAUCCAGCGUUGCUGUGAGCUGUGGUGUAUGUAAGUUGCAGACCAGGCUCAGAUCCUGCAUUGCUGUGGCUGUGGUCAAGGCCAGCAGCUGUAGCUUUGAUUCGACCCCUACCUUGGGGACUUCCAUAUGCCACACGUGCAGCUCUAAAAAGCAAAGAAAAAGAAAAAAGAAAAAA